AUAAGGUGAGAGAAGGUAGUAUCUCACCCCUUACAAGUGACACACAUGUCAGGACAAAUAAGCAGAUUAAGCCCAAGGCAGUGUGGAGCUCGAUAGAGGUGGCACUCCUCAAGUAAUUAAUGGUGGAGAAGGGCAGUCCAAUUGGCUUCUGUGGUGAAGCCGAUUACAGAAUAAGGUGAGAGAAGGUAGUAUCUCACCCCUUACAAAAUAAGGUGAGAGAAGGUAGUAUCUCACCCCUUACAAGUGACACACAUGUCAAGACAAAUAAGCAGAUUGACCCCAAGGCAGUGUGGAGCUCGAUAGAGGUGGCACUCCUCAAGUAAUUAAUGGUCGAGAAGGGCGGUACACCUGGCUUCUAAAGUGAGGCCGAUUACGGAAUAAGGUGAGAGAAGGUAGUAUCUCACCCCUUACAAGUGACACACAUGUCAAGACAAAUAAGCAGAUUGAGCCUAAGGCAGUGUGGAGCUCGAUAGAGGUGGCACUCCUCAAGUAAUUAAUGGUGGAGAAGGGCAGUCCAAUUGGCUUCUGUGGUGAAGCCGAUUACAGAAUAAGGUGAGAGAAGGUAGUAUCUCACCCCUUACAAGUGACA